CCCUUAGAUGUUCUGGGCCGCACGCGCGCUACACUGAUGCAUUCAACAAGCCUAGCCUUGACCGAGAGGUCCGGGUAAUCUUUGAAACUGCAUCGUGAUGGGGCUAGAUUAUUGCAAUUAUUAAUCUUCAACGAGGAAUGCCUAGUAAGCGUGAUUCAUCAAAUCGCGUUGAUUACGUCCCUGCCCUUUGUACACACCGCCCGUCGCUACUACUGAUUGGAUGUUUAAGCGAGGUUCUCGAACUGCUAGCGACUUAGCUUCGGUGAGGUCGCAGUGUGGGAAGUGAACCUAGCUUUGGUGUCUAGAGGAAGUAAAAGUCGUAACA
rnacentral:rRNA from 1 species